rnacentral:rRNA from 1 species
AGUGAACGUUGGCGGCGUGCUUAACACAUGCAAGUCGAACGAGAACGGAAUAUAGCUUGCUAUAUUUGUCAGCUAAGUGGCGCACGGGUGAGUAAUGUAUAGAUAACCUGCCCUUAAGAAAGGAAUAACAGUUGGAAACGACUGCUAAUGCCCUAUAUGCCUUUAAUACAUAAGUAUGCAAGGGAAACGCUUUAGUGCUUGAGGAUGGGUCUGUAUGGUAUCAGCUUGUUGGUGAGGUAAUGGCUCACCAAGGCUAUGACGCCUAACUGGUUUGAGAGGAUGAGCAGUCACACUGGAACUGAGACACGGUCCAGACUCCUACGGGAGGCAGCAGUGGGGAAUAUUGCACAAUGGACGAAAGUCUGAUGCAGCAACGCCGCGUGGAGGAUGACACAUUUCGGUGCGUAAACUCCUUUUAUAUAGGAAGAUAAUGACGGUACUAUAUGAAUAAGCACCGGCUAACUCCGUGCCAGCAGCCGCCGUAA